rnacentral:rRNA from 1 species
GACGAACGCUGGCGGCGUGCCUAAUACAUGCAAGUAGAACGCUGAAGAGAGGAGCUUGCUCUUCUUGGAAGAGUUGCGAACGGGUGAGUAACGCGUAGGUAACCUGCCUUGUAGCGGGGGAUAACUAUUGGAAACGAUAGCUAAUACCGCAUAACAAUGGAUGACCCAUGUCAUUUAUUUGAAAGGGGCAACUGCUCCACUACAAGAUGGACCUGCGUUGUAUUAGCUAGUAGGUGAGGUAACGGCUCACCUAGGCGACGAUACAUAGCCGACCUGAGAGGGUGAUCGGCCACACGGGGACUGGAACACGGCCCAGACUCCUACGGGAGGCAGCAGUAGGGAAUCUUCGGCAAUGGGGGCAACCCUGACCGAGCAACGCCGCGUGAGUGAAGAAGGUUUUCGGAUCGUAAAGCUCUGUUGUAAGUCAAGAACGAGUGUGAGAGUGGAAAGUUCACACUGUGACGGUAGCUUACCAGAAAGGGACGGCUAACUACGUGCCAGCCGCCGCCGUAA